rnacentral:tRNA from 2 species
GCGGAUAUGACGGAAUGGUAGACGUGCAUGCUUGAGGGGCAUGUAAGAGAUAUCUUGUGUGAGUUCAAAUCUCACUAUCCGCACCA